CCUACGGGAGGCAGCAGUAGGGAAUCUUCCACAAUGGGCGAAAGCCUGAUGGAGCAACGCCGCGUGGGUGAAGAAGGUCUUCGGAUCGUAAAACCCUGUUGUUAGAGAAGAAAGUGCGUGAGAGUAACUGUUCACGUUUCGACGGUAUCUAACCAGAAAGCCACGGCUAACUACGUGCCAGCAGCCGCGGUAAUACGUAGGUUGCAAGCGUUAGCCGGAUUUAUGGGGCGUAAAGGGAACGCAGGCGGUCUUUUAAGUCUGAUGUGAAAGCCUUCGGCUUAACCGGAGUAGUGCAUUGGAAACUGGGAGACUAGAGUGCAGAAGAGGAGAGUGGAACUCCAUGUGUAGGGGUGAAAUGCGUAGAUAUAUGGAAGAACACCAGUGGCGAAGGCGGCUCUCUGGUCUGUAACUGACGCGGAGGUUCGAAAGCGUGGGUAGCAAACAGGAUUAGAUACCCCUGUAGUC
rnacentral:rRNA from 1 species